AGAAAGUCACAAAAACAAAAACAUUGCCAUUUUAUUUAUUUUUUGAAAAAUGAAAAACAAAAAUAGAAAGACAGGGAUCACAAAAAUUGUUUGCAAAACAUCCUUUAUUAAUGAUAAUCAUUUAAAACAUGAUGUGGCCCUACAAUGAACCACUACGUCUUGGGCAGAACGUAGGGUUUUGUGCAGAAUGAAAAAACAAAAGAAAAUUACUCUGUUUGAAGAGUAACUUGGACUACAUCUUCUGUCGUCCAAUUGUUGAUCGUC
rnacentral:lncRNA from 1 species